rnacentral:rRNA from 1 species
UACGGAGGGGGCUAGCGUUGUCCGGAAUCAUUGGGCGUAAAGCGCGUGUAGGCGGCUGAGUAAGUCUGCUCUGAAAGCCCGGGGCUCAACCCCGGGAGGCGGGUGGAUACUGCUCAGCUCGAGUCCGGAAGAGGAGUGUGGAAUUCCCGGUGUAGCGGUGAAAUGCGCAGAUAUCGGGAAGAACACCCGUGGCGAAGGCGGCUCUCUGGGACGGUACUGACGCUGAGACGCGAAAGCGUGGGGAGCGAACAGG